UACAGAGGGGGCAAGCGUUGUUCGGAAUUAUUGGGCGUAAAGGGCGCGUAGGCGGCCUGGCAAGUGGAAGGUGAAAUCCCUCGGCUUAACCGAGGAACUGCCUCCCAAACUGCUUGGCUUGAGACCGGGAGAGGUGAGUGGAAUUCCCAGUGUAGCGGUGAAAUGCGUAGAUAUCUGGAGGAAUACCGGUGGCGAAGGCGGCAUCCUGGACCGGCAUUGACGCUGAGGAGCGAAAGCCAGGGGAGCAAACGGG
rnacentral:rRNA from 1 species